GAGUUUGAUCGUGGCUCAGAUUGAACGCUGGCGGCAUGCCUUACACAUGCAAGUCGAACGGCAGCACGGGAGCUUGCUCCUGGUGGCGAGUGGCGAACGGGUGAGUAAUGCAUCGGAACGUAUCCUGGAGUGGGGGAUAACGUAGCGAAAGUUACGCUAAUACCGCAUAUUCUGUGAGCAGGAAAGCGGGGGACCUUCGGGCCUACGCGCUCUUCGGAGCGGCCGAUGUCGGAUUA
rnacentral:rRNA from 1 species